UACGUAGGGGGCAAGCGUUGUCCGGAAUUAUUGGGCGUAAAGAGCGCGUAGGCGGCCCGUUAAGUCGGAUGUGAAAACCCGUGGCUCAACCACGGGCCUGCAUCCGAUACUGGCGGGCUCGAGGCAGGCAGGGGAGAUCGGAAUUCCUGGUGUAGCGGUGAAAUGCGCAGAUAUCAGGAGGAACACCGGUGGCGAAGGCGGAUCUCUGGGCCUGUCCUGACGCUCAGGCGCGAAAGCUAGGGGAGCAAACAGG
rnacentral:rRNA from 1 species